GUCAGGAUGGUCAGGCGCUGCAUUUAGGCCGCAGUCUCCUCCAGAGCCAUGGGUUCGAAUCCCACUCCUGACA
rnacentral:tRNA from 1 species